rnacentral:tRNA from 1 species
GCCCCCGUGGCGGAAUUGGUAGACGCGCGCGACUCAAAAUCGCGUUCCGCAAGGAGUGCCGGUUCGACCCCGGCCGGGGGCACCA